ACUUGGUGAGUCCGAUGAAGACCGCCAUAAAACUUGACGAGUUGAAGAACAACUCGGCGAGUCGGAUGGCUUUUCCCUUUGAUAGACUUGCGUGUGUACCCGUCGAGUUGCAAGGGGGAAACUCGACGGGUGGGCCUUAAGGAUUGAUCGGGAUUCGAAGGAACUCGACGAGUCACUCCGAUGACUCGGCGAGUUGGAAUGUGCUCCAUGGACUCGGCGAGUGGCCCAGUGCACUCGGCGAGUAGAGGUCAACAUGGACUAUUGAACUUGACUGAGGACUCUGACCUUGAUCAGGAAUUACUAAGAGAUGAUGGGGAGCCUCAUAAGGGUAAGAACUUAUGAGUAUAUUGUGUUAUGGUUAUAGGUGGUGGAGCCGGUGUCAAGUGAUCCGAUAGUUGGAGUUUGCUUUCCAAUCGACCUCUGCGAGGUGAGUUAUCCUCACUAUAUCGAUAGGGUCUACGGCACCAAGGCCGGCCCUUUAUGAUUUACAUCUUGGUUUAGGAUGGUCGCUUGUUAUUGCCAUGCUAGAUUUCAUCCUGGUUUAGGAUGGGUAUUAUGUUAUUGCUUUGAUAGAAUUUUUAUCCUUUUAAGGAUGGUUGUUAUACUAGAGAUCGGUUAGAUCAGUUGUUAUGGUAUGCUACAUAUGAUUCGGAUCUAUUAGAUUGAAAUCAGGAUAGAUAGUAUGUUAUGCUUUUAUGAUCCAUGAGGAUUGGUAUGUUAGUGACCAUUUAUAUCGAUACUCUAGUUACGAGUGAAACUAUAUGCUUGAUGGUUAAUGAGAUAAAUAUGAUUGCUAUGUGUAUAAAACAGUAUAUGAUAGUUUGAGAACAUGCUUAGUUGCUUGUUGGUUGGGUUGAGGCGGUCCUGCUUUGUGCUGAAGGCCAACACACCCUCUAAGGGGUCUGGGGAGACUAUAGGCCCACGCGGCGGACCAGUCAUGCCGAAGUCUCGGGAUAGAUUCAGAUAGACUGUAGGCCCAGUAGAGUGGACCGGUCCGGCCGAUGGCCCAGUAUGUGUGUUGUUUGAUUGAUCGUUAUGGAUAUGGUUUCUGCCAGUGUGGUAUUGGUAUUUUGGGGAUAGCUCACUAAGCCCUCGGGCUUACAAUUUUCAGUUUAUUGUUUCAGGUACUUCAGGAGAGCGAGGGAAGGUGAAGGCAUGACCGUACCGCUCCUCAUCCUCGUGAUCUAUUUUUGGGACACUCUGAUGAUAAAUGAAUUGGAAAUGUUUUGUAAAAACAAUUACUAUAUGAAUCUUUUGUUAGUAUUAAAAGUUUAAAUUUGGCGUAAACUUUAUGAGUGUUACAAGUUGGUAUCAGAGCCUUCGUUUGAGCGAAUUGGAGGAACACUUGUGUGAAUCCUGUCUCAAACCGAGGAGAUUUUUGGAAAAUAAGUUUUAAAAAUGUUUUUUUUAAAUAAAGGAUGGAGGAUGCAGAAGGUACGAUCAGCCGGAGCCUGUAAGUAAGCCCCAAAAUACCAUACAAUUAUUUGAUAUUCUGAUAUGAUUAGAAUAACAUGCUAGUGCUAGGCUAGGUAUUUUCAGGAAUCGCGUGAUAGAUUGGCCUAAUUGUAUGAUACCUAUUAGCCUAGGGUUUCUUCUAUAUGGGAUUGACAUCAUAAUUGUAGAUGUUUAGUGUAUGCAUCACGGCUGUGGAUAGUCAAGAUCUUAUAUCUUGAGAAUGUCCGAUUCGACCUUAGUAUAGGAUCGGAUAUUCGAAAGUCUAUCGGGUCCAGCACUAUGUGCAGCCAGUGUACACUAGCGCUGCAGGGGAUGAUGGAAGUUUCAUGGAUGUGUGAGUGGUGCGGAACUGCAGGAUCAGUUACUAGUUAGGCGAUUUCCCCUGUUAGUGAGGGUUAAGCGCAUAUUAUGUUAAAUACAAUUUAAGGCGUUGUGGUGAUACUUGAGACAAAUAUGGGUAAGUCUGGAAGGUAGUAGGGGCCCAUACUACUGAAAGCACAGGACCCAUACGCAUAUCAAGGAAGUCACAACGCCUAGGGUUUGAGGGUAAUUGGUCUUCCGUCAUUAUGUGAUCUGUCUGAGACAUUGAGUGUGUUUGCAGUAUGGUGGUGAUGAGACGUGUUGCUUCGGGGUCCGGAUUAGGAUCUAGAUCAGGAUCAGGGUCAGGAGACGAAGGAUUGGAGGUGUCGGUAGCACCUGAGCCCGUGGUUCAGAUCGGGACCGAGGAGUUAGAUGCCCGAAUUCGGGAGAUCAUGCACGAUAAGGUUGCUGCUGCGUUCCGAGCGCAGCUGCCGGAGAUGUUUGGGUUGAUUAAGACCGCGAUGGUCGAGUAUUUUUAUGAGCGGUAUGUCGCUCUAGCAGAGACUGCUGCUGUUGCAGCCACUUCAGCUAUAACAGCUGCAGGGAUUGGAGGAGUAGGAGCCGGUAGGGCUUUCCAGUACCGGGACUUCAACAAUACGAAGCCCCCAACAUUUGAUGGUACACAGGAUGCUAUUCGGGCUAUGAGGUGAUUACCUGACGUGGAGGGAUGUUUCUUCACGUGUUCAUGCCCUGCUAACGAGAAGGUCAGGUGUUCCCUAAACCUGCUGAGGCUUGGGGUGAAGGACUGGUGGAGGUUGACGACUGGGCUGUAUACUGAUGAUCAGAGGGCUGCUAUUACCUGGGAGCAGUUCCGAGAUAUGUUUCGCACCCACUACGUUCCGCAAGUGGAACGGGAGCGGCUUGCUCAGGAGUUUUUGACCUUGAGACAGGAUGGCGAGUCUGUGAUGGAGAUUACUCGUAUGUUCACGGAGAGGGCUAUGUUUUGCCCGGAGUAUGCUCAAGACGUAUAUUCGACAGUUUGUGUCUACUCAGCGAUGUGAUACCCUCCUGGACCAACAGGAAGCCACACAGCGGCGUGAGUUGGAGAUAGAGUUGCAGCUCAAGGAGCAGCGUCAGGCACCGACACAGUCUCAGUCGGCUCCUAAGCGGUUUAAAACCGCUGAUACACGGUCCGGGGGUCAUCAGAGUCGCACUUGUGGAAAGUGUGGCAAGGCUCAUUCAGGGGUUUGUCGAGCUGGAUGAGGGUGCCACAAGUGUGGCAAGGAGGGGCACUAUGCCAGGGAGUGCCGUCAGUCCGCCCCUCCAGAAGAUAUGAGGAUUUGUUUUCAUUGUCAUCAGGUUGGUCAUGUGAAGACCAGCUGUCCGCAGCUCGCCGCCAAGCCGGCGCAGGGUUCCGUGUCAGCUACUGUGAGGAUUGGAGAUGGGAGGCCAGUCAAGAUGGAGCCUCCGAAGGCUCAGGGUCGCGUCUUCUAGCUUACGGCUGAGGAGGCCAAGGCAGCACCGGAUGUGGUUGCUGGUAUGUUUCUAUUCUCUAUCUUAGUUAUUGUAUUUGUGCUAUGCUUAUUGGUUGUACCUAUCAUCAGGUACGUUUUUAGUAAAUUCUUUGCCUGCUUUGGUUUUAUUUGACUUGGGGGCGAGUCGGUCUUUCGUCUCUCAGACCUUCUCUAGAGGGUUCAGUGUGCUGAUAGAUGAUCUUGAGUGCCCGUUGCGAGUUUCGAUCGCCAAUGAGCAUGAGGUUUCUGCUUCUUCGGUCUACCGGGGAUGCAGGUUGGAGAUUUUCGGAGUGUCUUUCCCGAUAAAUUUGCUUCCUAUCCCCAUGAGGGAUGUAUGCAUGAUUGUGGGAAUGGAUUGUCUUAGCCGUUUUGGCUCCAUGAUCGACUGUGAGGGUCAGCGGGUGGUGGUUCGAACCCCAAGUGGGGGAGAACUGGUGGUAUAUGGUGAGGGUACUAGGUCGAGAUCAUGGUUCUGUUCGGCGGCCAGGGCUCGAUAGUAUAUUCAGCACGGGUGUGCCGGUUAUUUGGCGUAUGUGGUAGAUACGCGGGCUAGAGAGUAGCUCUUAGUUUCAUAGGUCCCCGUGGUUGGAGAGUUUGCUGAUGUAUUUCCGGAGAAGUUACUCAGAGUGCCUCCGGUGAGGCAGGUUGAGUUUAGGAUUGAUCUAGUGCCAGGAGCGGCCCCUAUCGUCAAGGCAUUGUAUCGUUUGGCACCGCCAGAGAUGCAGGAGCUGUCAUCUCAGUUGCAGGAAUAGCUGGGUAAGCAGUUUAUUCGUCCAAGUAGCUCACCCUGGGGAGCACCGAUUCUCUUUGUCAGGAAGAAGGAUGGAUCGCACAGGAUGUGCAUCGACUAUAGGGAGUUGAAUAAGUUAAUGGUAAAGAACCGUUAUCCGCUCCCGAGGAUAGAUGAUCUUUUCGACCAGCUGCAGGGUGCAUCUUGGUUUUCUAAGAUUGAUUUGAGAUCAGGUUACCACCAAGUCAGGGUGAGGGAGGAAGAAGUGGAGAAGAACGCGUUCCGGACUCGUUAUGGUCAUUAUGAGUUCGUGGUGAUGCCGUUUGGACUCACCAACGCGCCAGCAAUGUUCAUGGAUCUGAUGAACCGAGUCUGCAGACCGAUGCUUGAUCGCUCGGUCAUUGUUUUUAUAGAUGAUAUCUUGGUGUAUUCCAAGACCCGAGACCAGCAUGAGGAGCACCUCAGGGAGCUGUUGGAGGUGCUACGGCGAGAACGACUUUAUGCCAAGUUCUCGAAGUGUGAGUUUUGGUUGCGGGAGGUUCAGUUCCUUGGACAUCUCGUUAACCAGGAUGGGAUUUUGGUCGACUCGGCCAAGGUGGAGGCGGUUAUGAAGUGGGAGAUUCCGAGGUCUCCCUCAGACAUCAGGAGUUUUCUAGGCUUGGCAGGGUAUUAUCGGAGAUUUAUUCGUGAUUUCUCCAAGGUUGUUGUACCCCUCACUCGUCUAACGAGAAAGGGAGUGGACUUCCGGUGGGGCCCGGAGCAGCAGAGGGCGUUUGAGACCCUCCGGUAGCGGUUAUGUGAGGCGCCAGUGUUGACACUCCCCGAGGGAGUGGAGGAUUUCGUGGUAUAUUGUGAUGCGUCCAUCGCAGGCUUAGGGGCAGUCCUCAUGCCGAGGGGGCGGGUGAUAGCUUAUGCAUCGCGGCAGUUGAAGCCGCAUGAGACGAGAUACCCCACGCAUGAUCUUGAGUUGGGAGCGGUGGUAUUUGCUCUCAAGAUUUGGAGGCACUAUCUGUGCGGUGUCCGGUGUACCAUAUACACGAAUCACAAGAGUUUGAGGCACAUUAUGGAUCAGCCGAACCUGAAUAUGAGGCAACGCAGGUGGCUGGAUGUAGUCAAGGACUAUGAUUGUGAGAUCCUUUACCAUCCUGGUAAAGCGAAGUUGGUUGCGGACGCCCUGAGCCGCAAGUCAGCUGGGUCUUCUACCCCAGCCAUAUGUAUGAGGAUAGCGGUAGAUUCCCCGCUAGUGGAUUUGGUUAGAGAUGCUCAGAUUGAGGGUUUGAAGCCGGAGAACAGGAAAUUGGAAAGGAUUAAGGGCGAAAGCGCCCGGUUUGUGUAGGAUAGCCGCGGGCUACUGACCCGAUAUGGUCGGGUUUGGGUUUUGAUGACCGGAGGAGUUAGGCAGACAGUGAUGGAGGAGGCUCAUAAGUCUCGUUUUUCUAUUCACCCGGGGGCUACCAAGGUGUACCGAGAUUUGAGUUUGAGUUAUUGGUGGCCUGGUAUGAAGCAAGAUAUCGCUUGGUACGUUGAGAGGUGCUUGGCCUGCAGAAUGGUCAAGGCCGAGCACCAGAGGCCGCAUGGUAAGUUGCAUCCCCUGGAGAUUCCCAUGUGGAAAUGGGAACGGAUUAUGAUGGAUUUUGUCACAAAGUUACCGAAGACGGCAAAGGGAUUCGAUGCUAUAUGGGUCAUCGUGGAACGAUUGACCAAGAGUGCCUAUUUCCUAGCUAUUCGGGAGAGUUCAUCGGCGGAGAAGUUGGCCGACCUAUACGUCCGCGAGAUUGUCUCUCGCCAUGGGGUUCCAAUUUCCGUAGUUUCCGAUCGGGAUGUCCGAUUUACUUCCCAUUUUUGGCAGAAGUUCCACUAGGAACUAGGUACAAGACUGCAUUUCAGUACAUCGUUCCAUCCGCAGACUGAUGGGUAAAGUGAGCGGACCAUUCAGACCCUCGAAGAUAUGUUGAGGGCAUGCGUCAUUGAUUUCGGUGGGAGUUGGGAUUCCUACCUACCACUUGUGGAAUUCGGCUACAACAACAGUUAUCAUUCCAGUAUUAGUGCCCCGCCUUUCGAGCUGUUGUAUGGGUGGAAGUGUAGGACCCCAGUCUAUUGGGGCGAGGUUGGGCACAGGGUAAUGGGUCGGACAGAGGUAGUUCUGCAAACUACCAAGAUGAUACAACAGAUUAGACAGCGGUUGCAGACCGCUCAUAGUCAACAGAAGAUUUAUGUCGAUCGAUGCCGAUCUGAAUUGGAAUUUCAGGUGGGAGACAUGGUUCUCCUGAGGGUCUCACCCUGGAAGGGUGUGAUCCGUUUCAGGAAGAGGGGAAAAUUGGCUCCCCGAUUCAUUGGGCCGUUCAGGAUUGUUGCCAGGGUUGGCAAGGUGCCUUAUAGGCUAGAGCUUCCGGAGGAACUUAGCCGGAUCCACAACACAUUUCAUGUUUUGCAAUUGCGAAAGUGCGUCAUGGACCACGAGGCAGUGGUAUCGUUGGAUGACAUUCAGGUCGAUGAGCGCCUGAACUAUGUGGAGAGGCCUGUAGCUAUCUUGGAAAAGAAAAGGAAGAUUCUGCGGAACAAGGAAAUACCUUUAGUAAAGGUGCAGUGGGAGCAUCGGAGGGGAUCUGAGUGGACGUGGGAGCCAGAGGCGGAAAUGCGCGAGCAUUACCCGACAUUCUUUACUUCAGCGGACUUCAAGGACGAAGUCUAGUUCAAGUGGGGGAGAAUUGUAAUGCCCCGAUCCUCAUGUAUUUCUUUGUUAAGAAUUUCUGGAUAAAGCUCUACUCGACGAGUUGGUCGACCUACUCGUCGAGUAGCAACGGGGUGAGAACGCGUGUUUAGUGACCUACUCGGCUAGUCCACUAUUGGGACUCGACGAGUAUGAGCUGGUAGACGAAACCCUAAAUCCCGGGGUUUGCACCCCUAUUUAAAGGAUCUUCAGCCUCCUUUGGGCUUCCUUACAGUCUUUGAAAGCCCUUAUAAACCCUAAUUCGUGUGUGUACCUUGGUGUGGGUUUGAAGCUUGGAAGAGAGGAUUUUGGAGGAAGGAAGCUAAGAGUGCAAAGGAAUUGAAGUAAGAAAGGAGGGGGAAACGGGUUUUACCUCAGCUAGCAUUUUUAGAAGGUAUCAAAGUACCAUUCUUACUUCGUUUUCCUUCCUCUUGUUGAGUUCUAGGGCUUUUUAUGGAUUUUCAUGUUGGGAUGUUGAGCUAUAGGCUAGAUCUAAAGUUGUAACUUCAGAUCUGGACCCUCCUUGGAUGCUAGAGUCAUAAAGUUACUGUAUUGGUUGUGGUUGAAGUCCCUCUUGGACUAGAAGCUCCAUUAAGAACUUAAAAUAGACAUUUGGAGCCCAUAUAGCCAUGCAUGUACGUAAAGUUCGCAACUUUACGUGGUAAGUAUGCCCUAGAAGCUUGGAUUUGUGAUUUGGAGCCGCUGCAUGGCUCAAAACAAGUUUGUAUGGAAAGAGGACUGGAUGGACUCGGCGAGUCGCAAGGGUGACUCGGCGAGUCACAUGAAGAUGGUCAUUGAACUCGGCGAGUUGGAUGAAUAACUCGGCGAGUCCGAUGAAGAGCGCCAUAAAACUCGACGAGUUGAAGAACAACUCGGCAAGUCGGAUGGCUUUUCCCUUGGAUAGACUUGUGUGUGUACCCGUCGAGUUGCAAGGGGGAAACUCGACGGGUGGCUCUUAAGGAUUGAUCGGGAUUCGAAGGAACUCGACGAGUCACUCCGAUGACUCGGCGAGUUGGAAUGUGCUCCAUGGACUCGGCGAGUGGCCCAGUGCACUCGGCGACUAGAGGUCAACAUGGAUUGCUGACCUUGACUGAGGACUCUGACCUUGGUCGGGAAUUACUAAGAGAUUGUGGGGCGUCUCAUAAGGGUAAGAACUUAUGAGUAUAUUAUGCUAUGGUUAUAGGUGGUGGAGCCGGUGUCAAGUGAUCCGAUAGUUGGAGUUUUCUUUCCAAUCGACCUCUGCGAGGUGAGUUAUCCUCACUAUAUCGAUAGGGUCUACGGCACCGAGGUCGGCUCUUUAUGAUUUACAUCCUGGUUUAGGAUGGUCGCUUGUUAUUGCCAUGCUAGAUUUCAUCCUAGUUUAGGAUGGGUGUUAUGUUAUUGCUUUGAUAGAAUUUAUCCUUUUAAGGAUGGUUGUUAUACUAGAGAUCGGUUAGAUCGGUUGUUAUGGUAUGCUACAUAUGAUUCGGAUCUAUUAGAUGGAAAUCAAGAUAGAUAGUAUGUUAUGCUUUUAUGAUCCGUGAGGAUUGGUAUGUUAGUGACCUGUUAGGUCGAUACUCUAGUUACGAGUGAAACUAUAUGAUUGAUGGUCAAUGAGAUAGAUAUGAUUGCUAUGUGUAUAAACCAGUAUAUGAUAGUUUGAGAAC
rnacentral:lncRNA from 1 species